GGACAACAGCCAGAAAGACAGUAAGGACUUCAGUUGCACAACCACAGGGAAAUGAAUUAUGCCGACAACCCUAAGGAGUAUGAAGCUGAUCUGUUCCUAGCCCAGUGUCUCCAUGAGGAUGCAGUCAGUGAACAACAUGAUUUCUGCUUUCUGAGACCCUGAUCACAGGACCAACUGACAUACACUGGACUCCUGGCCUAUGCAAAACGAUCUGAGCCCCUUUUCUCCUGAUUAAUCCACUGCAGGCCUAGAGCCAAGCUGCCCUGUUUAUUAAAAGGGGAUACCCACUACAGCGUCCACUGCAGAUGCACUUCAAGAUUUCAAAGACUUCCAGCCACAAGAAGACGGCAAGUGAAGAAAAUAGAAGAAAGUGAAUAGAUUUCAAGGCAAAGUCUUGAGAACUUCUUAAGAAUUGAGAGACCAAUCUGCUGAGCUUAUGAAAAGAAAGCAACAAAAAACUGAAUAACCAAUUCUAAAGGCCAAAACAGUUGAGAAGAGUAAAGAGGAAAGAAGGAAGAAAAAGCAAACAUUUACUUUAGUAAUUUUAAAUGUUUGAAGAUUAAAAAAAAAUA
rnacentral:antisense_RNA from 1 species